rnacentral:tRNA from 1 species
GUUUUUGUAGUUGAAUAACAACGUCAGUUUUUCGUGCUGAGGGUUUUGGUGCGAUCCAAAUAAAAAUG